GAUGAACGCUGGCGGCGUGCCUAAUACAUGCAAGUCGAACGAGUUCUGAUUAUUGAAAGGUGCUUGCAUCUUGAUUUAAUUUUGAACGAGUGGCGGACGGGUGAGUAACACGUGGGUAACCUGCCCUUAAGUGGGGGAUAACAUUUGGAAACAGAUGCUAAUACCGCAUAAAUCCAAGAACCGCAUGGUUCUUGGCUGAAAGAUGGCGUAAGCUAUCGCUUUUGGAUGGACCCGCGGCGUAUUAGCUAGUUGGUGAGGUAACGGCUCACCAAGGCAAUGAUACGUAGCCGAACUGAGAGGUUGAUCGGCCACAUUGGGACUGAGACACGGCCCAAACUCCUACGGGAGGCAGCAGUAGGGAAUCUUCCACAAUGGACGCAAGUCUGAUGGAGCAACGCCGCGUGAGUGAAGAAGGCUUUCGGGUCGUAAAACUCUGUUGUUGGAGAAGAAUGGUCGGCAGAGUAACUGUUGUCGGCGUGACGGUAUCCAACCAGAAGGCCACGGCUAACUACGUGCCAGCAGCCGCGGUAAUACGUAGGUGGCAAGCGUUAUCCGGAUUUAUUGGGCGUAAAGCGAGCGCAGGCGGUUUUUUAAGUCUGAUGUGAAAGCCCUCGGCUUAACCGAGGAAGUGCAUCGGAAACUGGAAAACUUGAGUGCAGAAGAGGACAGUGGAACUCCAUGUGUAGCGGUGAAAUGCGUAGAUAUAUGGAAGAACACCAGUGGCGAAGGCGGCUGUCUGGUCUGUAACUGACGCUGAGGCUCGAAAGCAUGGGUAGCGAACAGG
rnacentral:rRNA from 2 species